rnacentral:rRNA from 1 species
UACGUAGGGUGCGAGCGUUGCCCGGAUUUAUUGGGCGUAAAGGGCGCGUAGGCGGCCACGCACGUCCGUUGUGAAAUCGCUCGGCUCAACUGGGCGGGGUCAGCGGAUACGGCGUGGCUGGAGCAAGCUAGGGGGCAAUGGAAUUCCCGGUGUAGUGGUGGAAUGCGUAGAUAUCGGGAGGAACACCAGUGGCGAAGGCGGUUGCCUGGAGCUUUGCUGACGCUGAUGCGCGAAAGCGUGGGGAGCGAGUUCGG